rnacentral:rRNA from 1 species
GUCCUGCAUCCAGCCAUGCCGCGUGUGUGAAGAAGGCCCUCGGGUUGUAAAGCACUUUCAGUGGGGAAGAAAUCCUCGGGGCUAAUACCCCCGAGGGAGGACAUCACCCACAGAAGAAGCACCGGCUAACUCCGUGCCAGCAGCCGCGGUAAUACGGAGGGUGCGAGCGUUAAUCGGAAUUACUGGGCGUAAAGCGCGCGUAGGCGGCCUGAUAAGCCGGUUGUGAAAGCCCCGGGCUCAACCUGGGAACGGCAUCCGGAACUGUCAGGCUAGAGUGCAGGAGAGGAAGGUAGAAUUCCCGGUGUAGCGGUGAAAUGCGUAAAGAUCGGGAGGAAUACCAGUGGCGAAGGCGGCCUUCUGGACUGACACUGACGCUGAGGUGCGAAAGCGUGGGUAGCAAACAGGAUUAGAUACCCUGGUAGUCCACGCCGUAAACGAUGUCGACUAGCCGUUGGGGUCCUUGAGACCUUUGUGGCGCAGUUAACGCGAUAAGUCGACCGCCUGGGGAGUACGGCCGCAAGGUUAAAACUCAAAUGAAUUGACGGGGGCCCGCACAAGCGGUGGAGCAUGUGGUUUAAUUCGAUGCAACGCGAAGAACCUUACCUACCCUUGACAUCGAGAGAACUUGGCAGAGAUGCCUUGGUGCCUUCGGGAACUCUCAGACAGGUGCUGCAUGGCCCGUCGUCAGCUCGUGUUGUGAAAUGUUGGGUUAAGUCCCGUAACGAGCGCAACCCUUGUCCCUAUUUGCCAGCGAUUCGGUCGGGAACUCUAGGGAGACUGCCGGUGACAAACUCGGAGGAAGGUGGGGACGACGUCAGGUCAUCAUGUUCUUUA